UACGGGGGGGGCAAGCGUUGUUCGGAAUUACUGGGCGUAAAGGGCUCGUAGGUGGCCAACUAAGUCAGACGUGAAAUCCCUCGGCUUAACCGGGGAACUGCGUCUGAUACUGGAUGGCUGGAGAUUGGGAGAGGGAUGCGGAAUUCCAGGUGUAGCGGUGAAAUGCGUAGAUAUCUGGAGGAACACCGGUGGCGAAGGCGGCAUCCUGGACCAACACUGACGCUGAGGAGCGAAAGCGUGGGGAGCAAACAGG
rnacentral:rRNA from 1 species